UGCAAACUGAAAGCAAAAACCUCUUUUUUCUGAAAGCCUCCAAGACAGUUGAUGGUGUGUGUGUUUUAGGCGUGACUCCAAAGCGUGUCCUCCAGUGCCCUAGCUGUCUCCCACCUCUGCAAACUCAAAGAUAAGCUCAUUGGACUACCAUGGCUUUAGUAAAGACGGUAAACCCAACGCCAAAAUGUUGGACUUACACAACGGAGCAGGCGUAACAUCCCUGUUUGCUGCUCUCGCGGAUCAGAAAUGUUCCAGGGACUUUGCCUUGAAGCAUCUCCUCUGCCUGCGUCCGACUCAGUUCACCAACAAACCAGCUCGUCUCAUCCUGAUGUGGCAAAUUCUUCUCAUCUCCCUUUAGCACAUACGUACUGAAAGAAAGAGGGUGGUUGUCAUGUCUCUUUCAAUUCUGUCUUCCAAU